UAGGGAAUCUUCCACAAUCGACGCAAGUCUGAUGGAGCAACGCCGCGUGAGUGAAGAAGGUUUUCGGAUCGUAAAGCUCUGUUGUUGGUGAAGAAGGAUAGAGGCAGUAACUGGUCUUUAUUUGACGGUAAUCAACCAGAAAGUCACGGCUAACUACGUGCCAGCAGCCGCGGUAAUACGUAGGUGGCAAGCGUUGUCCGGAUUUAUUGGGCGUAAAGCGAGCGCAGGCGGAAUGAUAAGUCUGAUGUGAAAGCCCACGGCUCAACCGUGGAACUGCAUCGGAAACUGUCAUUCUUGAGUGCAGAAGAGGAGAGUGGAAUUCCAUGUGUAGCGGUGGAAUGCGUAGAUAUAUGGAAGAACACCAGUGGCGAAGGCGGCUCUCUGGUCUGCAACUGACGCUGAGGCUCGAAAGCAUGGGUAGCGAACAGG
rnacentral:rRNA from 1 species